rnacentral:rRNA from 1 species
UUAGAGGAAGUAAAAGUCGUAACAAGGUUUCCGUAGGUGAACCUGCGGAAGGAUCAUUAUUGAAAUAAACCUGAUGAGUUGCUGCUGGUUCUCUAGGGAGCAUGUGCACACUUGUCAUCUUUAUAUCUCCACCUGUGCACCUUUUGUAGACCUGGAUAUCUCUCUGAAUGCUAGUCACUCAGGUUUGAGGAUUGACUUUAUGUCUCUCCUUGCAUUUCCAGGCCUAUGUUUCUUUAUAUACCCAAUGUAUGUCAUAGAAUGUAAUCAAUGGGCCUUUGUGCCUAUAAACCUAUACAACUUUCAGCAACGGAUCUCUUGGCUCUCGCAUCGAUGAAGAACGCAGCGAAAUGCGAUAAGUAAUGUGAAUUGCAGAAUUCAGUGAAUCAUCGAAUCUUUGAACGCACCUUGCGCUCCUUGGUAUUCCGAGGAGCAUGCCUGUUUGAGUGUCAUUAAUAUAUCAACCUCUUCAACUUUUGUUUGUCGGGUGUUGGAUUUGGGGGUUUUUUUUGCUGGUCUUGUAUCAGCUCCCCUGAAAUGCAUUAGCAGAACAAUUUGUGAACCGUUCAUUGGUGUGAUAACUAUCUACGCUAUUGACGUGAAACAGGUUCAGCUUCUAACAGUCCAUUGACUUGGACAACUUUUCAUUAAUGUGACCUCAAAU